rnacentral:rRNA from 1 species
AGCGAACGCUGGCGGCAGGCUUAACACAUGCAAGUCGAACGGGCAUCUUCGGAUGUCAGUGGCAGACGGGUGAGUAACACGUGGGAACGUACCCUUCGGUUCGGAAUCACUCAGGGAAACUUGAGCUAAUACCGGAUACGCCCUUUUGGGGAAAGGUUUACUGCCGAAGGAUCGGCCCGCGUCUGAUUAGCUUGUUGGUGGGGUAACGGCCUACCAAGGCGACGAUCAGUAGCUGGUCUGAGAGGAUGAUCAGCCACACUGGGACUGAGACACGGCCCAGACUCCUACGGGAGGCAGCAGUGGGGAAUAUUGGACAAUGGGCGCAAGCCUGAUCCAGCCAUGCCGCGUGAGUGAUGAAGGCCUUAGGGUUGUAAAGCUCUUUUGUCCGGGACGAUAAUGACGGUACCGGAAGAAUAAGCCCCGGCUAACUUCGUG